rnacentral:tRNA from 1 species
UGGUGGGUCUAAAUGGACUCGAACCAUCGACCUCACGCUUAUCAGGCGUGCGCUCUAACCACCUGAGCUAUAGACCC